rnacentral:rRNA from 1 species
UUUGAUCAUGGCUCAGAUUGAACGCUGGCGGCAGGCCUAACACAUGCAAGUCGAACGGUAACAGGAAGCAGCUUGCUGCUUUGCUGACGAGUGGCGGACGGGUGAGUAAUGUCUGGGAAACUGCCUGGUGGAGGGGGAUAACUACUGGAAACGGUAGCUAAUACCGCAUAACGUCGCAAGACCAAAGAGGGGGACCUUCGGGCCUCUUGCCAUCGGAUGUGCCCAG